CCUACGGGAGGCAGCAGUGGGGAAUAUUGGACAAUGGGGGCAACCCUGAUCCAGCCAUGCCGCGUGUGUGAAGAAGGCCCUCGGGUUGUAAAGCACUUUCAGUGAGGAAGAACACCUGGUGGUUAAUACCCAUCAGGAAAGACAUCACUCACAGAAGAAGCACCGGCUAACUCCGUGCCAGCAGCCGCGGUAAUACGGAGGGUGCGAGCGUUAAUCGGAAUUACUGGGCGUAAAGCGCGCGUAGGUGGCUUGAUAAGCCGGUUGUGAAAGCCCCGGGCUCAACCUGGGAACGGCAUCCGGAACUGUCAAGCUAGAGUGCAGGAGAGGAAGGUAGAAUUCCCGGUGUAGCGGUGAAAUGCGUAGAGAUCGGGAGGAAUACCAGUGGCGAAGGCGGCCUUCUGGACUGACACUGACACUGAGGUGCGAAAGCGUGGGUAGCAAACAGGAUUAGAUACCCGAGUAGUC
rnacentral:rRNA from 1 species